rnacentral:misc_RNA from 1 species
AAAAAAAAAAAAAGGAAAGAUAACUUUGGUUUAUACUUUAGAGAUUGUUGAGAAUUAUGGACCCAAGACUGUGAGUAUCAAACUGGCAAGCUAUACAUUGAAUUAGGUUUGAGACUAGGCUUCCCAUCACUAAAAUAACUUUGGUUUGCCAACACUUAUUUAUCCUUUAAUUUUCUUAUACAUUAUUGAUGUGGACUUUUUCCCACAAGUGGUAUUCCAACACUCCCCUUCAAGUUGCAAUCAAGACAUCCGAUUGACACUUAAAACUUGAAACUGAAAUACUGCGGCAACACCGGGAUAUUGAACUGAAACUAAAACUGGACCCUAACCUGCCUUAAUACCAUGUUGAGAAUUAUAGA